rnacentral:sRNA from 1 species
UACAUAAAAUAAAACAUGAAUAUACGUA